rnacentral:tRNA from 1 species
GCCCCCAUAGCUCAGCUGGUCAGAGCAACCGACUUUUAAUCGGUGGGUCGCAGGUUCGAACCCUGCUGGGGGCACC